CUAACAUGCAGUCGAACGGAAAGGCCUCUUUCGGGGGGUACUCGAGUGGCGAACGGGUGAUUAACACGUGAGUAACCUGCCCUUGACUUUGGGAUAACUUCAGGAAACUGGGGCUAAUACCGGAUAGGAGCUCCUGCUGCAUGGUGGGGGUUGGAAAGUUUCGGCGGUUGGGGAUGGACUCGCGGCUUAUCAGCUUGUUGGUGGGGUAGUGGCUUACCAAGGCUUUGACGGGUAGCCGGCCUGAGAGGGUGACCGGCCACAUUGGGACUGAGAUACGGCCCAGACUCCUACGGGAGGCAGCAGUGGGGAAUAUUGCACAAUGGGUGGAAGCCCGAUGCAGCAACGCCGUGUGCGGGAUGACGGCCUUCGGGUUGUAAACCGCUUUCGCUCAUGACGAAGCUUUGUGUGACGGUAGUGGGUAAAGAAGCACCGGCUAACUACGUGCCAGCAGCCGCGGUGAUACGUAGGGUGCGAGCGUUGUCCGGAUUUAUUGGGCGUAAAGGGCUCGUAGGUGGUUGAUCGCGUCGGAAGUGUAAUCUUGGGGCUUAACCCUGAGCGUGCUUUUGAUACSGGUUGACUUGAGGAAGGUAGGGGAGAAUGGAAUUCCUGGUGGAGCGGUGGAAUGCGCAGAUAUCAGGAGGAACACCGGUGGCGAAGGCGGUUCUCUGGGCCUUUCCUGACGCUGACGAGCGAAAGCGUGGGGAGCGAACAGGCUUAGAUACCCUGGUAGUCCACGCUGUAAACGGUGGGUACUAGGUGUGGGGUCCAUUCCACGGGUUCCGUGCCGUAGCUAACGCUUUAAGUACCCCGCCUGGGGAGUACGGCCGCAAGGCUAAAACUCAAAGGAAUUGACGGGGA
rnacentral:rRNA from 1 species